rnacentral:piRNA from 1 species
UACUAGCUGAGACAGCUCGCCAGGACAA